rnacentral:tRNA from 1 species
GGGGUUGUGGCUCAGUGGGAGAGCACUUGCCUCGCAUGUAUGAGGCACUGGGUUUGAUCCUCAGCACCACA